GAGUUUGAUCAUGGCUCAGAACGAACGCUGGCGGCAGGCCUAACACAUGCAAGUCGAGCGCACCUUCGGGUGAGCGGCGGACGGGUUAGUAACGCGUGGGAACAUACCCUUUUCUACGGAAUAGCCUCGGGAAACUGAGAGUAAUACCGUAUAAGCCCUUCGGGGGAAAGAUUUAUCGGGAAAGGAUUGGCCCGCGUUAGAUUAGAUAGUUGGUGGGGUAAUGGCCUACCAAGUCUACGGUCUAUAGCUGGUUUUAGAGGAUGAUCAGCAACACUGGGACUGAGACACGGCCCAGACUCCUACGGGAGGCAGCAGUGGGGAAUCUUAGACAAUGGGCGCAAGCCUGAUCUAGCCAUGCCGCGUGUGUGAUGAAGGUCUUAGGAUCGUAAAGCACUUUCGCCAGGGAUGAUAAUGACAGUACCUGGUAAAGAAACCCCGGCUAACUCCGUGCCAGCAGCCGCGGUAAUACGGAGGGGGUUAGCGUUGUUCGGAAUUACUGGGCGUAAAGCGUACGUAGGCGGAUUGGAAAGUUGGGGGUGAAAUCCCAGGGCUCAACCCUGGAACUGCCUCCAAAACUAUCAGUCUAGAGUUCGAGAGAGGUGAGUGGAAUUCCAAGUGUAGAGGUGAAAUUCGUAGAUAUUUGGAGGAACACCAGUGGCGAAGGCGGCUCACUGGCUCGAUACUGACGCUGAGGUACGAAAGUGUGGGG
rnacentral:rRNA from 1 species